CAACCAUGGGGAGGUUACCUGAUUCAGGAAGAAUGGGCAAUUAAACAUGAAUUUGAAGAUUGCUUUUUUGAGGUAGGCCAGUCUCACUGACAAAUGAUCAUCUACCUGGAGACAAAGGAGGUGUUGGUGAGUUGGUGACAUGGGUAUAAUCUGAGCCCCAGCAGUUUAUUUCACUGGCUCUCUGCAUUGUGUUUUUGAGACCUUCAAAGUCUCAGUAUUAUCCUGUUAGUCUCACAUUGUCUUGGCCUCUGUGGUAUGUAAAUAAAGUCAGCAUAGGGUAUUCUGAAAGUUGAGGGUGUCGAGGAUGUCGUAAGAGUCUUGGUUCUCCCAGCAACAGAUCUUGAGAUCAGGAUUCUAAUGCAGGUAGUUUACUUGGGAGAAGAUCCUAGGAAACACUAGAGGAGAGUGGGGAAAUGGUGCGGGAAAGGGAGGGAAGCCAAUACAAGGUGCAUUUUCAAGGCUCUUACUACUGUGGGAAACUGGGGUUUAAUCUCUCUGGGGAACUCUGGAUGCUAGUGUAGAACACACGCCUCAGAGUUAUUCCACUCAACAGAGUGCUUACAAAUCUAGCUUUACUUUGAAUAACAUAUGCCAUUGCAGCAGAUCUGAAUAGUUAAAAUAUUAACACAUCCCAUUUACUUAU
rnacentral:lncRNA from 1 species